rnacentral:rRNA from 1 species
AACGAACGCUGGCGGCAUGCCUAACACAUGCAAGUCGAACGAGACCUUCGGGUCUAGUGGCGCACGGGUGCGUAACGCGUGGGAACCUGCCCUUAGGUUCGGAAUAACUCCCCGAAAGGGGUGCUAAUACCGGAUAAUGUCUUCGGACCAAAGAUUUAUCGCCUUUGGAUGGGCCCGCGUUGGAUUAGCUAGUUGGUAGGGUAAAAGCCUACCAAGGCGACGAUCCAUAGCUGGUCUGAGAGGAUGAUCAGCCACACUGGGACUGAGACACGGCCCAGACUCCUACGGGAGGCAGCAGUGGGGAAUAUUGGACAAUGGGCGAAGGCCUGAUCCAGCCAUGCCGCGUGAGUGAUGAAGGCCUUAGGGUUGUAAAGCUCUUUUACCCGGGAUGAUAAUGACAGUACCGGGAGAAUAAGCUCCGGCUAACUCCGUG